AUGAACGCUGGCGGCGUGCCUAAUACAUGCAAGUCGAACGGAGAUUGUAGCAAUACAUUCUUAGUGGCGAACGGGUGAGUAACGCGUUGGUGACCUGCCCCGAAGUGUGGGAUAACAACUCGAAAGGGUUGCUAAUACCGCAUGUGGUUUUUCGGAUUAGAUGCCGAAUUUCUAAAGGAGAAAUUCGCUUCGGGAGGGGCCUGCGUCCCAUCAGCUAGUUGGUAGGGUAAUGGCCUACCAAGGCGAUGACGGGUAGGGGACCUGAGAGGGUGACCCCCCACAAUGGAACUGAAACACGGUCCAUACACCUACGGGUGGCAGCAGUAGGGAAUAUUGGUUAAUGGGCGAAAGCCUGAACCAGCAACGCCGCGUGUGCGAUGACGGCCUUCGGGUUGUAAAGCACUUUUUGAGGGGAUGAGGAAGGACAGUACCCUCAGAAUAAGUCUCGGCUAACUACGU
rnacentral:rRNA from 1 species